rnacentral:rRNA from 1 species
CGGCCGCGUCGACCUGGGAUAACUCCGGGAAACCGGGGCUAAUACCGGAUACGACCACUCCUGGCAUCUGGGGUGGUGGAAAGUUUUUCGGCUGAGGAUGUGCCCGCGGCCUAUCAGCUUGUUGGUGGGGUCACGGCCCACCAAGGCGACGACGGGUAGCCGGCCUGAGAGGGCGACCGGCCACACUGGGACUGAGACACGGCCCAGACUCCUACGGGAGGCAGCAGUGGGGAAUAUUGCGCAAUGGGCGAAAGCCUGACGCAGCGACGCCGCGUGAGGGAUGAAGGCCUUCGGGUUGUAAACCU